UACGUAGGGGGGCUAGCGUUUGUCCGGAAUCAUUGGGCGUAAAGAGCGUGUAGGCGGCCCGGUAAGUCCGCUGUAAAAAGUCAAAAGGCUCAACCUUUGAAUGUCAGUGGAUACUGCCGGGCUAGAGUCCGGAAGAGGCGAGUGGAACUCCUGGUGUAGCGGUGGAAUGCGCAGAUAUCAGGAAGAACACCACGGCGAAGGCAGCUCGCUAGGACGGUACUGACGCUGAGACGCGAAAAGCGUGGGGGAGCGAACAGGG
rnacentral:rRNA from 1 species